GACGAACGCUGACGGUGUGCUUUAGACAUGCAAGUCGAGCGAGAAAGCCCUUCGGGGUUAGUAAAGCGGCGAACGGGUGAGUAACACGUGGGCAAUCUGCCCCUCGCAGGGGGACAACCGGGGGAAACUCCGGCUAAUACCCCGUAAGCUAUGUGGAUCGCAUGGUUCACAUAGGAAAGGUAGCUUCGGCCAUCCGGCGAGGGAUGAGCCCGCGGUACAUUAGCUAGUUGGUGGGGUAACGGCCUACCAAGGCGGCGAUGUAUAGCUGGUCUGAGAGGAUGAUCAGCCACACUGGGACUGAGACACGGCCCAGACUCCUACGGGAGGCAGCAGUCGGGAAUCUUGCACAAUGGGCGAAAGCCUGAUGCAGCAACACCGUGUGAGCGAUGAAGGCCC
rnacentral:rRNA from 1 species